GACCUUCGGGAGCUUAUACAGGUGUUGCAUGGCUGUCGUCAGCUCGUGUCGUGAGAUGUUCGGUUAGGUCCGCUAACGAGCGCAACCCUCGCCGUAUGUUACAAGUGUCAUACGGGACUGCCGGUAAAAAGCCGGAGGAAGGUGAGGAUGAUGUCAAGUCAGCAUGGCCUUUAUAUCCAGGGCUACACACACGCUACAAUGGUCUGUACAAUUGGUUGCCAAGCCGCGAGGCGGAGCCAAUCCGUAAAGCAGGCCUCAGUUCAGAUUGCAGUCUGCAACUCGACUGCAUGAAGCCGGAGUUGCUAGUAACCGCAGGUCAGCAAUACUGCGGUGAAUACGUUCCCGGGUCUU
rnacentral:rRNA from 1 species